GGGGUACCGGUACAGAGUCAAUGUGGAGGCUAUAUACAGGGGGUACCGGUACAGAGUCAAUGUGGAGGCUAUAUACAGGGGUUACCGGUACAGAGUCAAUGUGGAGGCUAUAUACAGGGGGUACCGGUACAGAGUCAAUGUGGAGGCUAUAUACAGGGGGGUACAGGUACAGAGUCAAUGUGGAGGCUAUAUACAGGGGGUACCGGUACAGAGUCAAUGUGGAGGCUAUAUACAGGGGGUACCGGUACAGAGUCAAUGUGGAGGCUAUAUACAGGGGGUACCGGUACAGAGUCAAUGUGGAGGCUAUAUACAGG
rnacentral:lncRNA from 1 species